UCCGUAGGCGGGCAAUUAAGUCAGAGGUGAAAUCCCACAGCUCAACUGUGGAACUGCCUUUGAUACUGGUUGUCUUGAGUUACAGUGAAGUAGAUAGAAUAUGUAGUGUAGCGGUGAAAUGCAUAGAUAUUACAUGGAAUACCGAUUGCGAAGGCAGUCUACUAACUGUAUACUGACGCUAAUGGACGAAAGCGUGGGGAGCGAACAGGAUUAGAUACCCUGGUAGUCC
rnacentral:rRNA from 1 species